AAAAAACAGGAGUUACAAAGCCAAAUAGGCAAAUAAGCACAUAUCAUAGAUAGAACAAUGAAACUAGAAAUGAAAACAGAGAGCGUCCUUUAGCGCGCAUGGUGAGGCUUUAGGUGGGCGACAUGCACCACUUCUGGUCGGGCGCGGCGCCGCUGCUGUUGUGCAAACUGCUGAUGUGCCCGAGAGCGGCAUCGUCAUCUUCGUCGUUUGGGGGCGCGCCGACGGGGACUCUUGACAGGCAGUCUGUGUCGGUGUGCUUAAGGCCAGACGUGUAGACCAUUUUG
rnacentral:lncRNA from 1 species